rnacentral:rRNA from 1 species
GAUGAACGCUGGCGGCGUGCCUAAUACAUGCAAGUCGAGCGAACGGACGAGAAGCUUGCUUCUCUGAUGUUAGCGGCGGACGGGUGAGUAACACGUGGAUAACCUACCUAUAAGACUGGGAUAACUUCGGGAAACCGUAGCUAAUACCGGAUAAUAUUUUGAACCGCAUGGUUCAAAAGUGAAAGACGGUCUUGCUGUCACUUAUAGAUGGAUCCGCGCUGCAUUAGCUAGUUGGUAAGGUAACGGCUUACCAAGGCAACGAUGCAUAGCCGACCUGAGAGGGUGAUCGGCCACACUGGAACUGGAACACGGUCCAGACUCCUACGGGAGGCAGCAGUAGGGAAUCUUCCGCAAUGGGCGAAAGCCUGACGGAGCAACGCCGCGUGAGUGAUGAAGGUCUUCGGAUCGUAAAACUCUGUUAUUAGGGAAGAACAUAUGUGUAAGUAACUGUGCACAUCUUGACGGUACCUAAUCAGAAAGCCACGGCUAACUACGUG